AUACGGGGGGUGCAAGCGUUAAUCGGAAUUACUGGGCGUAAAGCGCGCGUAGUCGGUUGGACAAGUUGGAUGUGAAAGCCCCGGGCUCAACCUGGGAAUGGCAUCCAAAACUGUCCGACUAGAGUUCGGUAGAGGGGAGUGGAAUUCCACAUGUAGCGGUGAAAUGCGUAGAUAUGUGGAGGAACACCAGUGGCGAAGCCGGCUCCCUGGAUCGAAACUGACGCUGAGGUGCGAAAGCGUGGGUAGCAAACAGGAUUAGAAACCCCAGUAGUCC
rnacentral:rRNA from 1 species